rnacentral:rRNA from 1 species
UACGUAGGGCGCAAGCGUUGUCCGGAAUUAUUGGGCGUAAAGAGCUCGUAGGCGGCUUGUCAUGUCGAUUGUGAAAGCCCGAGGCUUAACCUCGGGUCUGCAGUCGAUACGGGCUAGCUAGAGUGUGGUAGGGGAGAUCGGAAUUCCUGGUGUAGCGGUGAAAUGCGCAGAUAUCAGGAGGAACACCAGUGGCGAAGGCGGUGUUCUGGGCCAGUACUGACGCUGAGGCGCGAAAGCGUGGGGAGCGAACAGG